CACGUAGGGUGCGAGCGUUGUCCGGAAUUAUUGGGCGUAAAGAGCUCGUAGGCGGCUUGUCGCGUCGUCCGUGAAAACCCACAGCUCAACUGUGGGCUUGCGGUCGAUACGGGCAGGCUGGAGUUCGGUAGGGGAGACUGGAAUUCCUGGUGUAGCGGUGAAAUGCGCAGAUAUCAGGAGGAACACCGGUGGCGAAGGCGGGUCUCUGGACAGUUCCUGACGCUGAGGCGCGAAGGCCAGGGGAGCAAACGGG
rnacentral:rRNA from 1 species